CUCUCCGCAAAGGCAGGGCGUGGUGACAUGUCCCUGGCUAGGUUAGAUGGGGCUGGACCCCCGAAAGCCUGGGGGACCGACCAAGCACCUGGGUAGUACUGGGUCCUAGGUCUCAGAAUGGAAACUCUACCAAGUAGGAGGCAAAGGCCGAGAGGUGAAUCCACUUCUCCGGAAUGCGAUGGGCAUUUGCUGAGGAGGAACUGGAGAAAUCUCCAUUGAUGUAGUUGUGAAAGGGGACUAGUGCGCUGGAAACAGCGUGCUAAACCCAUCAGCUCAAAUAGCUCUUGAUCAAGGAGUGGGAUUGGUGAGCGAUCUGCAUAUAGCUUUCCCCCAUGCCAGAGAGGCCGGUCCUGGGAAAGUGACGAGCCUUCAAUUUUUUUUCACUCUUCUUGGAAACAUGACCGAAAAUAUGGAAAGUGAUAUAGUGCUAUUGGAGCUUGAAGCUCCUGUCAGUGAGUCAGACGAUGUGAGUGUCGUAGGUAGACACGCCUUUUUUUCUCCGGCUCUUUGAGCGGAGUGUAAAACAUGGGAAAAUAAAUUCAGAACAGAUUAGGGUCAUAAAAGAAAACGUAGCCACUUGGGCUCUUGCCCCACACCACUAGGUCAGUAUGCUGAAGUAAAGGCUGAAAACGAGCGGUUGAGGAAAGAACUUGAGAAACUGCAGAAGACAAGCUGUUGCAAUCACAGCAGCAGCACCAUUACAACCGAAACAGAUGGUCCAAGAGACCAUAAAACAGAAUUUAGAAAAACCAGUUCCCACAGUCUUUGUAAAACAUAAAAAGGGAGAGGAUGUCAAGAAGGUGAAAGAGAAAUUCGAAAAAAAGUGUCAAUCCCAAACAGAUAAAAUAAUCAAGUAAGAACCACUAAAACAUACUUAUUGUUGAACUGGUUUCUGUUGACGACAGUGAAGGACUUAGUCCUUUAUAUGUGAGAAACUACGAAAGUGCCGCCCACUAAUGAUGAUGUAUGAUGUAUCAUAAUACAUGACCCAGGACAAUGUGGUUGACUGUGUGUAUGCUCAAAACUUUGAAGAAAGAAUGAACUGUGAUGAAUUCGUUGAAAACUUUGUUACGUUGUAAGACAGGUCCUUGGGACCGACACACUGUACGUCUUGCAGUGGAGAUGGCACCACAACUGAGGAAACAUAAGAAUAACCAACAGGCUGUACAUAGCAUAUAACGCAAUUUCCAUAAAAGAUUACACUGCAUUAGCAAAAUGCUCCAAAUGCCAGAAUUACAGCCAUGUGGCCAAAUACUGUACUUCUCAAAAUUUAGUAUGUUGUGUAAGUAAGCUGUUUAGGUUUUUAUGUUGGUAACGCCACGUAGCGCUCUGUAUGAAAAUCACUGACUGUGCUUUGUGCAGUCUGUGGCUGGUUGGUAUUGUUGAAAUAUUCUCUAUUGUAGUGUUGGGCAGUUGGAUGUGAACAGCACGUAACGUUGUGCAGUUGGAGGUGAGCCGCUAGCAGUGGCGGAUGUGGGGAGAGAGAUGGCAGAGUUUUGAGAGCGGAUGAUCUGGACGUUUGUCCAUCAGAGAGAGUAAAUUUGUAAGACUGGAGGUCAUGGACUGAGAUAUAUAUAAAUAUGUUAUGACUUUUGAACACUAUUAAGGUAAAUACAUUGUUCUCUAUCAAAAUCUUUUAUUUGGUAUCUAUGCCUAUCAGUAGUUAGUGACUUAUUUAGCUGGCAGUAUUGGCUCUCGCUGUAUUGCAGUAGUUCGAGUAACGAAGAUUUUUGUGAGGUAAGUGAUUCAUGAAAGGUAUAGUUUAUUGUUAGGCAGGGCCAUUCUUUUGUAGCGAUUUUUCAGAGUCAGAUUGCGUUGCGCUAAAAAUAUUGUGUGUCAGUUUAUUGAUGAUCAGAAUAAGUAAAGAGAGAAAUGUCUGACCACGAUCAGUUUUGCUCAGCUGUUUGAAAAUCAAAUAACGUAAGAGGUUUAUCAGCACAGUAAUUGAUAAAUUUUUCGAAGGGGGACGUUUCAGUAGUUUAUGUAAAGACGACAGUCACGAUAAAAAAAAUUGCAAAAAACAAAAACCUAUAUGCAUCCCUUGUAAAUACAGAAAACGGGUAUGUCAUGCUCCCAGAAGGGAGUGUCUAGCAUACAAGUUACUAAUCCAACGAUUAAUACAGAAAACUGAUUAUGGCAACUAGUCGUUGGGUUUCUGGAGUAAGUUCCCAAGCAAGUUAUUGAGGGAUGCAGAAUGAAAAACUUAGAUCGUCACAGUCAUCUUUGGAUGAUGAGGACGAGGAGGAAGGAAAGACUUAAAUUGUUACAGAUCCAAUCGAGCAGCCAGACACAUUGGACUUCUCCUGCUAGGUUGGGUACUUUCCUGGCUACCAGGAGGAGUGAUCCAGUCACAUCAGCUGCAGCACUGGCGGGGACGGCGGACUUCUCCUGUAAGGUCGGGGGCUUCCUGGCCUUGGAGAGGACAUCAUCGCCGCCCACUGCAGAGGGGCCUUCGGCCGAGCAACCUGAAGACAGUAUAGAACUUAGAAAUGGACGGAGACUUCCCAGCAGACGGGUGUGGCCGCUGGGACGUUGGGUGGAGAAGAGGAGGCUGCGGCCGUGUUUGCUGCAGUGGCGGCGCCUAGGUCCCGGCAGGAAGAAGCAGAGCCAUUGCCGGUCGAGGUGGAAAAGCUGGAAGCGACGCCCGGGAUGUCUAAGGAAUUAGAAGACACUGGGGCUGUGGUUUCUGUGGUUCCGGUGUCAAAAUUCAAAAAAGAGAGAAGGAAUUUGGUAUGGGCUGCUGCGAAUAGCAGUAGAUGGGACUUGGUUGAUGUAGAUGUUGAACGGCUAAUGACUGGUGUAGAGACUUUACAGUUGUUUACUGGAGGAACCUUGAGGAAUAGUAUCUACAGUUGAGUAGAUCUGGCUACAAAUGUAAAUUCAUAUAGUGCUUUCCCACCAGGGAAUGUAUAUAACAUUUGCGAAGAAACAGAUUAUCAAGAUUGGAAGAGCUAUCAUUUUUAAUAGUGACUCUGAGGCAAAUUGUUCGAGUUGGGUAUCCAAAUGGCAGAAAGAUUACCUUUCCAUCUCUGGAGGAUGCAGACUGUAUCCUCUUGGCAUCGGCAAAAAUACCUUUUGAGUAUGCAGAGUUUUUACUUUUAGUGCAUAAAAUGUACAAAAGAUGAGGAAGGGUAUUAGACAUUGAAAAACUAUAUAAAGAAAUGGUGGUGAUGUAUGGAAGGAUUGGUUUCGACCCUUCCCAGAAAUGGCCAGAUAGUCAUUAUUACACUAGACACCCAUGACAGGUGUUAAAAGCUCUCAAAUAAAUGCAAUGCAUAGCUUAACAGUUACACAAGAACUGAGGAAAUUAGCUGAGGAAAACGAAGCGGAUAUCAUCCUGAUGCGGGAACCACAUUCUUCCCCUGGCAGGCACAAGUAAUAAACACUGGAGACAAUCCAAUGACCGCAUUAGUAAUAAUUGACAAAUUAAUCCAAACAGUCAUAGAUCAACAAUGUACUUCACACAUAAUGGCUGUGGAAGUUAAUCUGAUGAAUACCAAUUGGUAUUUAGUAAAUAUUUGCUGUCAGUUUAGAGAACAUAUAACCCCAUUUCUAGACCAUCUAUCUCAGGUUGUGAGCAGAUUAGAAGGGAAGUUGGUGAUAAUAGCAAUGGACAGUAAUUCCAAAUCACCACUGUGGUACAGUCAGUCACAAGACCCUCAUGGCACAUUUGCAGGUGGAGAACCUGCCGGGUAAUCCACCAACCUAUAGAAGCAGAGCAGGAGUUGCAUCAGAUAUAGAUGUAACCCUAACCACUGAGAAUGUUAGAAAUAGUGGCAAAUUGGCGUGUAUUAGAUGGACUGACCACAAGUGACCACAACCUAAUUGAAUUUUCAGUUGUAUUGGGAGGACAACAAAUGACUGAUAACUGGAUCUUACAGUUAGACUAUGGGAGAGCCAACUGGGACCUGCUAGAGGAGGAGUGUUCUCCUCCAGAGCUGGCUGAACAAGAUUUUGAUGUGGAUCAGGCAGUUGAGGCAUUAGUUGCCUCUAUAAAGGCAGCUGUCGCCAUAGCAGUACCAACAAAGAGAAGGUAUAUCCGCAGAGCAACUGCUCCAUUGACUCUGGAGCUGUCUCGGAUCCAACAGUCUAUGAGAAAGGCUUGGCACCAUUACCAAAGGGCCUUCAUCCAGGAAUAAUUACAGCAGACUAAAAAGGGCGUUUCAUGACCCUCUGACCAACCACCAAAACAAAAGUUGGGAGGACUUUGUCAGUGCACAUUUGGUGCUUGACCCAUGGGGACUCCCGAGUGUAACUCUUGAAUGUAAUGGAUGUCUGUUGUGUAUUGGCAAAUUAAAUGCACUUGCUGGAACCUAUGUGGCGGAAGGUCAGCUGCGGGGUUACGGAUAGCCUCCGUGAGGGGGCGAUGGUCUGUGAAAAUGGUUAUAUUCCUUUCUUCGAUGUCUGUGCAGAAAUAUUUUACAGCUUUAUAAACUACAAGACAAUUCUGUCAAAUGCUGACCAUUUACGUCGAGCUGUAGAUAGUUUUUUGGAAAAGAAACAGAGUGGUUGUCGUGUCAUUGACAUGCGGUUGGAGGUCUGCACCGAUUGCAAAAUCACUUGCAUCCGCUGUGGUAGAGAUGCAGGCAUCUGGCAAAGGGUGGGCGAGAUUGACACCACGUGCUAACGUUGAUUUAAGGUCUUCAAAAGCUCUCACCAUGUUGUCAGACCACUGCACUCGGCGACUGCGCGAGGUUUGUUUCCCGGCCAAUGCAUCAGUCAAAGGGGCUUGAAUUGCUGCUGCCAUUGGCAGGUUACGAUGGUAGAAAUUGACAGUUACUAAAAACCGGCUUAAUUCACGAAACAACACUGCAUUCGCGAUCUACCUCUCCCAGUCAACCCGCUCCUGCAGGGGGCUUAUACCAUCUGAAGAGACGGUGUACCCCAAAAAAGUGACAGCAGUGAAGCAGAGUUGUGACUUGUCAUUAUUGAUCUCAUCUCCGAUACGUGUCAAUAAGUCCUGUAUCGAAACAUGACGACGCGUCGUCGUUUCAUGAUUCGAGGGUCAGCAACUGAUAAAAAAAAAAAAGGGGGCCCCCCCAAGGUCGCGAUGGCGGUGUCACUGUCCCGCCGAGAUAAUUUGUCCUUUUAGGACAAUUAUCUGAGCAAGCACCCACACCGGCAAAAGGUUGCCCGACACGUGCUGUUCGAUAACGUUAUGUAUAUAAAAGAUUCCGUAUAUAAGGGGGCAUGAAAUUGUUGUCUUCACAGUAUGUCCUCUGAAUCCACAGCGAGAACGUCUAUUGUCUCUGACGAGCUGUCAGAAACAGUAAGUACAUUUCUGUAUAAUGGACACUUUAUACAAACUUGCACGAAUUGCCGUUUGUGGAAGACUUCAAAAUGCCUUGGAUAUUUAUCAGUUGGAGUUACCACGAACUAUACGAGAAGAUAUAUUAUUGGAAUUCCAUUAUUCAAAAUUCAAUUUCAUGUUAAAUUCAUAUAGACUGCCAGAAUGUUAUAUAUUUGAUAGAAGUGAAAAUGUUCCCAUGAUUAAUGAAAUUGUAAAUGAUGCAGUAGAAGCUUCUUCAAAAAUAAGAGCGGGAAUUCCAGUUCCGUGGCAAACACUCGCUUCGAUUACAAUGUCUUUUUUUGAUAUUACUGCAUUCUGGCAAAGUAGAUUUAAAAUUAAAAUGUUUUUUUAUGAAGUUACUUAUAAACAAUUCGUAUUUACUAUUUGUGAGAAUUGCUUAUACAAAUUAUCAGAUUCAUGGCAAAACCAGCAACUACAACCACUUCUAAUUGAUAUGAAAAUUAAUAUGGUAACCAAGGCACCAUAUUUUUCAUAUGGUGUAACUUGUCCGCCACAUAUUAAACAAUAUAGCCAUUGGUGCAUGUUCUAUGCAAAUAGUCCAUUAUUCAGAAGUGUACGUUGUGGUGGCUCGUUAAGCCAAGUAUCUGAUUCAGAAGAGGACGAUGCUGAUUUGGCUGAUAUGUUACUUGCAGAGCUGUAAUGGAGACCCUGGCCGACAUCUUCCAAUCCAUCUUCAAGCUGGUUCAAGCACACAUGACGAAUCCAACGCUGAAAAUCUUUAUUUGGAUAGCUACGAGAUUACACUGCCAGUUGGGAGCAAUCGAUGGACCCUUAGGGACAUACAUAUUCACCAUUUUGAAUUGUUUGACGAACAUCGAAGAUUCCUGUUCACAAUUAUCGUUUGGUUGCCAGAACUUUUGCGAAUAUCUGAAAUCUCAGAAAGAUGGUAUUACACUGAUGUCAUUGUCAUCAGAGGACCGGACGAGGUUGAUGAAUUUAGUAGACGAAUUGCUUCUAUCACAUCAGUCUACCCUGGAGAAAUUAUCCUAUGGAAACAUGAUGACGACCACAUCCACCUCGUCCACGAUUGCACGUAUUCCUCUAGACGAUGUAGAUGCCAAUUUAGGGUUGACCCAUUUAUUGCCACCAGAAUUAAGAAAUGUCCCCGACGAAGGCGAGCAAUCACAGCCAUGUCCAACCUCGACUGGUUCAAUAUACUCAUAUAUUUCUACCUGCAAAAAAGGCCAAGUCGGGGACAAGUUUGGAUUAGAGGAACCCAUAAGAGAGUGCCUGGUGAGUUUGAAAUUGUACAAUGGGUCAGUUUCAUCGAGGGAUCCCUCUCAGUAUUGGAAAGGGAAAACCCUCGAAUUAAUGAUCAGUUGCAACAAGAACUCACCAGAGAUGGCUCACGUAAAUGGCCUCAUACAAAGCGCAAGCCAAUCUCUGACUACCAAAGGUGCAACCCUGAAACGACGGCAAAAAGGUACUUUCCAUAUUAAUGUCAUACAAAUGCAUACCGCCAGAAAAUUUAGUCAAUGUAAUACCAUCUGCUCAUCCAUAUUUUAUUAAUUUGAUUGACCCUAAAUUCAAACGAUUUUUCGGUAUGGGUUUAGAACUGUAAAAACAUAAAUGAAUUGGAUUUACAUGGUAUAGAAAAUUUAUUGUGUUCUGGUUCUGAAGAUAAUAUUUUUUAUUCUCAUUCAACAAAUGUUUGGGAGUAUUAUUAUACUCUUCAAGAUUCUCUUUCUUGGCUAAAUAAAAUUUUAUUAUUUCAAUGUGAAGAUGAUACUGACGAGGUUACGAAAUUUUUAACAAAUCUUGUAUCUUGGAUUAAUAAGAAAGGAUUGUAUCAAUGGCAAGAAUGUGAAGGUAAAAAUAUAUAUGUACCAAAUAAAAAGUUAAACACAUUAUGUAUUGUUGGUCCACCAAAUAGUGGCAAAAAUUGGUUUUUUGAUUGUAUAAUUUAACUUGGUUUAAAUGUUGGCCACAUUGGACAUUGUAAUAAUAAAACAAAUCAGUUUGCAUUGCAAGAUGCUGUUAAUAGACGUGUCAUUGUUGGUAAUGAAAUUUCUUUAGAGGAGGGUGCAAUUGAGGAUUUCAAAAAAGUGUGUGAAGGAAUUGCAUGUAACAUUAGAGUGAAGUACAAAGGAGACGCUAUAUUGAGACGUACUCCGUUACUGUUAAUUUCAAACUCACAACCAGUUAUUUGUUCUCACCCAGAUUUUAAAGAUAUUCGUGUAUGUACAAUUAGGUGGAGAAAGUUUGAUGAAUUAAAAAAUGCUUGUAAAAAACCAUAUCCUCUGGCUUUCUUUCAGUUACUUCAAAUGUAUAAUAUUGAUUAUUAUAUAAAAGACAAGAAUCUGUACAAUGUAUAUUUUAUUGUCAA